rnacentral:rRNA from 1 species
UAAGGAAUAUUGGUCAAUGGUGGGAACACUGAACCAGCCAUCCCGCGUGCAGGACGAAGGCCCUCUGGGUUGUAAACUGCUUUUACCAGGAAAGAAACGAGCGGAUUCAUCUGCUCCUGACGGUACCUGGGGAAUAAGCACCGGCUAACUCCGUGCCAGCAGCCGCGGUAAUACGGAGGGUGCAAGCGUUAUCCGGAAUCACUGGGUUUAAAGGGUGCGUAGGCGGCUUGGUAAGUCAGGGGUGAAAGCUUCCCGCUCAACGGGAGAACUGCCCUUGAUACUGCCUGGCUCGAAUUGGGUUGAGGCUGGCGGAAUGUGGCAUGUAGCGGUGAAAUGCUUAGAUAUGCCAU